GAGCUAUUGAUUUUGUGUUAUGUGCAGAGGGUGUGAAAUAAAUUGAAAGUAUUACCACAGUAUCAAAGUGCGCAGCGCCGACAGGAACAUAAUGUACACACUUAAAUCGUCCCUCUAACAUGACGAGCAAUUACAGAUACCCAGAGAAAAGCAGCGAUAUUCAAGCAGGCGAAGUUGAGACUCAUCCAGCGGUGGUGCGGGGUUAAUUAGUGCUCUUGGUUCUAACCGAGCAUGUAGGCUGUUGAAGACUAAUGUUUGUUUGGACACACUGGUGCAGCGUCCACAGAUAAUGUCAUCAUUAACUAUUGAUGCGCUUAUGUGUGCAGGCAGAUAGCCUCUAAAUCUGCUCCAACUUAUGUACUACACUUCCUCUAUCUGGGAAUCUGUAAAUCCCCCACAUACACGCACACACAUACAUACACAUCUCCUCCACCCCUCAUGGUUUUUCACACCUUCACUCUCCACCCUGCUCUCAUCUCUUCCUCUUCCAUCUUUUCCAUUUCUUCUCUCUCUCUCUCUCUCUUUCACUUGCACAUAAGCACAAGGUACACACCGUCUGCCCAUCCUCCCCUACCACCCCCAACUUCAGUGCCGCCCCCCCUACACAGCCCUUCACUACUUGCAUUAUCUUUCCCGGAAAUUGCAUUUCCAGCACAGCCAGGGCCCCAUUAUGAAGAGGGAGCGACAUGCUGUAACCUUUUUAAAAAGCCAUUAGUGAUGCACCUGCCCCUCCCCCCACCCCCCUCCCUCCUUUACCACACCUACCCCUUAAACCCCCACCAACCCGGACCCUGCCAUACACCCCCCUCCUCCACCACCACCACUGAUUCUCUCUUCUUCUUUCACCCUCCCUGACCCCUCCCCAACCGGAUUGCAGCUGUAAUGUUAUUAGGCCGUUUCUACAGCCAUUACUCGGCCAGCUCUCUGCUCCCCCAGCUGAACAUGGAGCAGAUGCAGAGGGAGCAGCAAAGGCCAGUGGGCAAAGUGAUAAUACACAGAGGGUCAGAUGUAAAGGAGGAUUUAUAGAAAAGGGGAUGGAUGGAUGCAUAGAGGGAUAAAAUCGAAUGCAUGUUGUAGAAAAGAGGAGAGUGGGGCAAGAACCGGGAGCACAACUGAUAAAGGUAAACAAUAAACCCUCUCCGUCCCCUCAACCCUGCACCCUCUUUCAGCCCUGUUAUCCAAACACAAACAGGAACUGUAACACCAGACAUCAGUAUCACACUUGCACUAAUAUGUAAACAUGCAUACACACACAGCAGCAGCAGCAGCAGUAGCAGCAGCAGCUCGGUUCACAGUCGGCCGUAAUCCUGUCUGAGGAGCACUAUUGUUGUUGCACUGUCAUGUAGUGUUGUAGUUGUGGACCACGCUGGCUGCAUUAUCGCCCAAUUAGAAUGCAGAGACAAGCCAAGGAGGGCAGUAAAGAGGGAAGUGAAGUGCCAUGGAGCAGAGGAGAGACAGGCAGAGAGGGUUUGAGACAAGCCAGGCACACAGACAGACUCUAAAUCCAAUUGCAUGGGCAGGUUCCAAGAAGCAAAUAGUGAGAGACUGUGCAGGAGGAGGCGGAGGAGGUGAAGGAAAAAGUCCUUUUUUUUUUUUUCCCCCACAUCUUCUUUGUAAAGUACACAGCAGAGCAUGCAAGCCCUAAUGCGGCAACUGUAGCUUUACUGUACUGUACUGUACGAGCCUACACAAUAGCGUUGGCACGGUUCAGCCCACUGACUGACUGUCAAUGUGAUGGAGGUGCUGCACUAUGCCUAGGCAUUCGGAGGGACACCCAGAGGACACAAAUCCAUAAAACCAACCCACUGUAUAUUUUAAGAUUCUGCCCACUUCAUAAAAUCCCACUAUCACACAGGAGGCUGUUCAUUAAAGUAAUUACUGACAGGAUGAUGGCGCUACAGGCUGUUUUCAGAGGCGACUGCAGCGAGUGUUUAUGGCUCAUAUUCCAUAAGAUCACACUGUUUAUGUGAUUCUAACGCCGGGCGACACCGCGUGAGAUGUUUCAGUAGGUUUAGGUAAGAGAGAUGUUUCUCUUUUUAUUCUUACUAUAUCCUGUUAUGACUUGAGACUGAACCAUUCCCAGAUGAUUGAAAAUAUAUAUAACAAAAGAGUGAUUAUUGGUUAUUCAAAUGAAAUCAAAUCAAGCCACCAGCAAGGACGCAAUUUUUUUGAUAGAGUUGCAGGAUUUCUUUGAGACUGAAAGUCAGACCAGGCUCCCAUAAUGUCCAAAAAUACUGGCAUAAGUGCUGUUUUCUCUAAAAAAAAUUAAUAUAUUUUUUUCGUUGGUGUGGAAAAUAGUGCUAACUUAACAGGAUCCAGGUUGAAAAAUGUCACUGUAGUGAUAUCUAGCCCUUUAAUGCCUUUUGUAUCAUAUUUGAUACAUACUUUUAUAUACUUCUAUCAAAUCAAUGUGAGCAACAAAUUAUUAAAAAACACCUGAAUACAGUCUGAUUAAUGAUAAAAAUGUCCUCAUAUUAUAUUAUCAGUUUCCAAAAAUAUCUAAUGUAUCAAACGAGAUAAAUAGGCGUGGGUAACCUUCCAGUCGACUUCAAAAUAUAAGACGUCACCAGCUCAUGUGAGAGCUCUAUAAUAAAGCGCCAUCGGGCGUUAGUGAUACCUGCAUACGUAGAAUUCAGGGCGCUGAGCUUUGAAAAAGGAGAAGUCAUUCAGGGUGGCAAUAUAAUCACGUUGUACCACAGCAGCAUUACAGGUGUAGGUGCCAACCACCUGGUCUACAAUAUCUAUUCUACACCUCCAUUCGUAUGGUUGUAGAAUUGCAUCACUUCUGUUUUUCUCAAAGUAGUAAUUUAUAAGUAAAAAUAAGUUCAUAUGUUAUAGCAGCACGUAUAUUAUGAGGUAUAAAAAUGAUUAUAAUACUUACAUGCGUUGCUGUGUUACUGUAAAAAUAACCCUUAGGGUAGUGAGACUGCUCAGAUUAGAUGUGUGGAUCAACAGUAAAUGUAUACCUGACAGUCACAGUUGAUAAAAAUCUAAGGUUCCUUGGGUUCCCAUGUCAAAGAGAACCUAUUUGAUGAAUACGUGGAAGAUUAAAUGAUAAAAAUUAAAAAUUACAAAUAUAUUGCAAAAAAAAACUGGUGCUGGGGUCAUUUUUGACCCUCCUUAUGCAUUUAAGGGUUAAAAUGGGAAUUUCGACGUCGAAGUCAAAGCAGUAAUGGUCAAAGAUGAUUGAAUGUUGGUUUACAAGGAUGUGUAAGUUUCAUGUUAUCUCAUUACAGUAGUUUUUGAGUACUCAAAUGUACAGUGAAGUCAGCCAGAAAGAUUUAUAUCAGUAUCAUCUGUUUUAUUCCUCCCAAGAAUAAGUGACAGUUAUUUCUAUUUUUCUUUCAUUUUUUUUUUUGUGGAAUACAUCUAUCUAUCUUUAUAUCUAGAUCUCUCUGUCUGUCUGUACUUGGAGCCCUUUCUUUUCUCUCUUUGCUUCUUUCUCUAUCUAACCCCAUCAACCCCAUCUUCUCUUCUCUCUCUCCAGACACCGACACCAAAUCCCACAACAGUCUCCCUGCUGAUCGAUACCAUGACAUCAUCAGGCGUGAACAUCAUCAGAGAGCUGUGGGCGAGGUGCUGACCUGAAAAACACACACACACACACACACACACACACACACUCCUCCACAUACACACACUUUCAGGACCUGAGGGACUGAACCAUGCUGAGCGUUAACACAUCCCAUCCCAAGUAACCCCUGCCUGCCCGCCUGCCAUCACCGAUGCUGCUGUAGUGAAUCUUUCUGAUGACAAGCCCGGGACCUCUUUCACACAGGCAUGGACACGGAGCGAGCUAAUAGACAAUAAGGACAUUUCCCCUGAGUGAGCUGUUGAGAGGAGGCCAGGCUGCUGCGUGUAAAUAUGGUCAAGACAAAGCAGUACACUAUGAGACUGUUUAACCAUGCAGCAGCUGUCACAUUUGCACUUUUUCACCCUCUUAAUCAUAAAAAAUACUAAUCCUACAAUCUAUUCUUAUCAGCUGUAAGAUUUGGGGACUUUUCAAGCUGUUUUCAUCCACUGAGGGAGUGAUGGACAGACACAGUUAUUACCUGACUAGGUCUGGACGUAAACAUCCAGUAAAAUGUCCGGGUAACUCAUGAGGAACUGUCACUGGCUUCACAGGUGGCGCGGAGCCUCCAGAAAGUAGCUGAAGUGCCAGGAUCAAAAGCAGAGAAGAAGUCAAUAUCCUCAAAGCUGGAACACCUCCCAUCUGCCAAAGCUACAAAUGGGGAAGUCACUCAGUGUUUAUGACUGCAGGCUCCGCUGUGUGUGUUUCAGUCUUGAGACAACACACAGAUACUGACAAAACAACGAGGGGCAAGGGCAGAGUGGGGACGAGCUGCACUUUUUAUUAUGAAGUUUGAACGUCCAUAAAUUGAUGUGAAUGUUGAUGUUGAGGGAGCUAUGCAUUUCGAUCGAGAGAUGGAUUAGAUGUUAUCACUACACUGCAUUUUCUGUUUCAAAUGUCAUGUUUCAUAUUUGGUUUAGUAGUUUAAUUAAAAUCACCCAAUUUUGAACUUGUCUGAUGAUCUUUCCCUGACGUUAUGGUCUCUAGAUAUAUAUAGAUUCAGAUUUCUAGAAUUUAUACCAAUCAUAUUUUAUAUCUAUUAUGUAUCAUGGACUUUUCACUGUAAUUGUUACCUUGGCAACAUUAACGCACUUGUUUAAAAUGCUUCUUCCAUUGAAUUUUUCUUGAAUAUAUCAUUUUUAUUAUUUACAGACUGCUCUGAAAUAUAAACAUAUUUGCUCCAAAACCUGAAGUCUGUUUGCCCUGCAUACUUACAAUGAAGACACCAGGUGAGUGUUGAUUUGUACUCUAUAUCAACCUAGUAGUCACCUUGUAAAUUCACAUGGCAUUGGGUUGGGAAUCACCAGCGGCUCCACGAUACGAUAUCAUCACGAUACUUGGGCCACGAUAUGAUAAUAUUGCGAUUUUUAACAUUUUGCAAUUCAGUGAGUAUUGCAAUACAAUUUAUUGUGGUUUUUUAACUGUUUAGCUAAUUUAGCAUUUGGCUUUCCUUUACGUUUGUCUUUUUACUUUCAUGUAGCACAUCUUGCAAACCAUAUAUACAUUUGUUGUACUAACUUUCUCCUGCUCUAUGGUGUCUCCUCUGCCAACCUCACUGCACAAACAGUUGGUUUUAUUCUUCCAUUAUCAUAGAUCUGACUUCACAUGAGCAAUUAAUUUGAAGAAAUUGAUACUUGGCAAAUGCAACGAGACAAUAUAUCACCAGACAAAAUAUCGCAAAACUAUGCUGUAUCGAUUUUUUUCUCUCACCCGUAGAAUUGAGUAUUUCUAUCUCGUAUAGAAACAGGCAGAGGUAAAGCAAAGAAGGGUCUGCUUAAGAGUGAACAUUAUCUAAAAUAAUAUGUUGCUGCUGUUGAUAAUGUGUCUGCCCCCUAAUCAUUUCACAAACCACUUCCUCAUGCAACUUGGAUGUAAUUCAUGAUUUAAAACCAUUUAUGUGAGGAUUUGCCCUUUUUUUUCGAUAAGCCCCCUUUAGAACCAUGCAAUCAAUGGUCAUGUUUGCUGAUAGUGUUUGGCUCGAUUGGUAGCAGACUGACCAGAGUGGACACCAACUGUCGCUGUUUGCAUUCAAAAUAUUUACAAACCACAUGGCCAUAAAACUCAGACUGGGAUCAGUUAUGGAAAAAAAAAAACUGUCAUUGAAAUCCAGUUUUGUCACAAAUCCUCUACGAAGGUGCAGGUGACAGACUUCGACCGGCCCCCUUUACAUCUUACUGCCAAUAUAAAACAAGACCAGCACGGCUUUUUCAUAUCAUCAUUUUAACAAGAUAAUGAGGUACAAUAAGAAUGUGCAAGUCCUCCAAAAAAACUGGCUAUGUAAAAGAGACUUUAAUUUCUCUUCCUGUAGCGGGACGUCAUUUCAGCCUGUCACCCAAAGCCCAGGAGACGUAGCAGUUGGUGCAUCUCACCUCUCCUUAAAGGGAUAUUCCAGCAUAAAAUUAAUUUAGGGUCAAACACCAUAACACCGAGUUAGACACUCCUUCGAGGGAUGAAUGUUGCUGACUACUUGCUUCUGUAGUUAUAACAACUUUAGUAAUGACCGCACGAUAGCAAUACACAAUGGUCUCAGGAGCCAUAAACAAAUCUCAACGAAAACGCCACUCUAUAGCCACACACAAUGCUCAGAACACCACCGAACUUCAUCAACAGUACAUAUAGGGUCCCAGCCACAGCACUAGCCACCAAACAUCUUUUUAACUUUGCCUAUUUUCUUUGGCAAAAACUCUCUUCCAGCAGCUGUUUGUUUGUGGCGAGACCUCGACCAGUUGAUCAUCAUUGCUAUCUGCGGUCGCUACUAAAGUUGGUAUAACUAGGGAAGCGAGUGGUCGGCAUCAUUCAUCUCUCUAACUCAGAGUUAUUGUGUGUUUGACCCUAACUUAAUUUUACGCGGGAAUAUUCCUUUAAGCUGACAUGUAACGGGUCUCUGCGAGGGUCCUUAUAAGUACAGUAGUGUGUAAUGUAGGUGCCCUACACCGUGAUCGCCUGUUCCACUUGUGCCGUGGGGGAACUCUAAGGGAAUGGAAGAUUUCUAUUCUUCAUUCUUGUCCAUCCCAACCCUCCUGCCAUCCCCCUCUUUUCCUGGAUGGAGGGGUGCAACCCUCCCUUUACUCUCCCACUCAAACAUGGCAUAUAGGGAAAGUGGUGCAACACAGCCAAGUGAGCCCACUGAGCCAGGUUGCUCCUCCCUGCAUGUGUGCAUUUGGACCGAAGUGAGCUUGACUUCCAGCCCAGGCGACCAUCACCCCCUUACCCACCAGUGCCACCAGUGCCUCAACCUCCUCCUCCUCCUCCUCCUUCUCCCCUUUUUCACCAACCCUCCCUUUCCAUAGCAGGUGGCGCCACUGGCAGCAGGGCAGAGAGAGGGCUUUGAUUCCUAAGCCAGUGGGCUCAGUGCAUAUUCAAACUAGGGCCUUUGUUUGUGUUGCUGCGAGGCCCGAGUCAGACUUGCAUGCAGAGAAUACAAAUCAGACCUUUGACAGGAGCAGUUAACCUGCCGCUAAAUAUAGCUGCCCUGGGUCUGAAAGAGAUGGAGGGAGCACUGGAAGAGGGAGAGAUGGAAGGAGCACAUAGGGCACGGGGGAUGUAGAGGGUGAACAAUGAGGGGGAUGAGGUUGGGUGAAGAAAGCACAGAACAUGUAGAGUAGAGAAAUGAGAAGUCUUUUAUUUCCUCUAUCGUCUUUGGAUUUGAGAGAACAGGGAGGGUUAAGACAGAGCUGGAAAGUCUAUACAGAAAUGUCUGCUGAGCAACUGAUGCAUGCAAAGCCAGCAUGAUGUGUGCGUUCAGGAGGGGGGCAAAAAAGAGAAUAAAUAAAAUACACAGAGUCUGGGAGUGGGUAGCAUGGUGGGGAGAGUGGCAAAUGAAAGAUAGGGAGAGUCUGUUUAAUAAAGCAGCAAUCUUGAGGGAGCGAGGGUGAGGGAGAGAAGGAGAGGGAAUGAGAAAUGUGUUCAUACCACAGGGAUCUGAGCAGACUGCAAAAGAGGGGGGGAGAGACAGAGAAAAGAGUCAGAGAGACGAAAUUAGAGAACGAAAGAGACAAACAGCCAGGACGGGCACAGGACUUUGGACUGUCCUGUCUGGACUCCUUACUUGUUCUUGGAUUAUUGUCUCAUAUCACUCGGGUUCAUAUCGGUUCAAAAAUGACCUCAGAACCAUAGUGGAAGACAUAACACCCUUAAUCAAGUCUGUACAAAUUUGGCAAUUUUACAGUAAGAAUGUGUUAAAAAAAUUAAACCAUUGAGUGACUGACAGUCAGCAUGCAGCAGGAUUAUGUAAUACCACAGCUGUAUAAGCUGCAGAGUGAUACACGGUCAGAUAUGGUGUGUGUGUGAGUGUGUGUGUGUGUGUGUGUGUGUGCUCUGUCAGCAUGGGCCCCUCAAAGAUAUAAAGCAAAUCCACCUCUAGUGUCAGCCCAGUAAAACCCUGCAUCCUGAUACUAUUUGACAAAUAAUAAAAGCAUGAUGAAUGGUGGCGCAGUCCCCACAAUGUGCC
rnacentral:lncRNA from 1 species